rnacentral:rRNA from 1 species
AAUAUUAGUAGCUUAAAGAUUUUCUUAUUUAAUAUUAGGUAUUUAUAUAUAAUUAUAUAAGCCUAUAAUGUUUAGUUGAAUUUUAAGAUUGUUCAACCACAUAUGAGUAUGAAAACAACUCUAUCUUUUGACAGCAGUGGGGAAUUUUGGACAAUAUGUUAAAACAUGAUCCAGCAAACUAAUGAAAAUGAAGAAGGUAUAGUAUAUUAAUAAUUUAAUUUAGUUUAUAACUUUUAUUAAAUUCUUAAUAUAGUAUUGUAAAGUUUAAAAUUAUAUCUCCAAAACCUUAUAAAAAUAAAUGAAAAGAGGUUAGGAUUAAGCUGUGGCUAAUACAUGUGCCAGCAGCCGCGGUAAUACAUGAGCAGCUAGCGUUAUUCACAUUGACUAAGUGUAUUUAAACAAAUGGGUUAUUAUUAUACAUAUAUAUAAAGUUAUUUUUAAUAAUAAAUAUAUUUAUGUAUAUAUAUAUAAAAAUUAACAUUAAAUAUAAUAAAUUUAAUAUAUUAGCGAUGAAAUGCAGAUAUUAUAUUUUAUUUUUCAAAAGCGAAGGUAAUUAUAUUAGUGUUAUUAUAUCUUAUUUUGUGAAAGUAUGGUUAUCGAUAAGGAUUAGUCACCCUAGUAGUCCAUACUGUAAAAUAUGGGUACUUCAAGAUAUUAUCUAUGAUAGUUAACGCAAAGUAUCCUACUUGGAGAGUAUUGCCGCAAGGUAGAAACUUAACUGAAUUGGCGGGAAUUUGUACUAAUGGUGGAAUAUGUGGUUUAAUGCGAUAAUCCACGCAAAACCUUACCAACAUUUUAAAUAUUUUAGUAAAAUAACUAGUCUUUAUAAAAAUUAUUUUAAUAAAAUAUAUUAGAAUUGCAUGGCUGUCGUCAGUUCGUGUUGUGAAAUAUAGAAUUAAGUUUUAUAACGAAUGUAACCCUAUAUUUAUUUUGUAUAUUAUAAUUUUAAUUAUUAUUUUAUAUUUUUAAAUAUAUUAUAUAUAAUUUAUAUAUGUUUUUUAUUAUAUAAAUUAUAUAUAUAGGUUUUAGGCUGAAGUCAAGUCCCUAUGGUCUAUGUAUGUUGGGCUACACACAUGUUACAACGGUAAAAACAAAAAGUAACAAGAGAGUAAUCUUAAGUUAAUCUUUAAAAAUUAUCCUAGUCCAGAUUGUUUCAUGAAACUCUGAAACAUGAAGUUGAAAUCAUCAGUAAUUGUAAAUUAUUAUGUUACAGUGAAUAAAAAGUCAAAUUUUGCACACACUGCCCAUCACGCUCGAAGAGUUUUAUUUAUAUAAAUAGUAUAAUAAAUUAUAUAUUCUUUUUAUUAAAGAUUAAGUAUAAAUUAAAAAAUUAUACAAUAUAUUUUUAUAAUUAAAGUGAUUUGAGUGAAGUUGACACAAGGUACUAGUAGAGGAAUCUGCCGGUGGAUUAUAUUUUACU